rnacentral:rRNA from 1 species
AUGGAGGCAACUCUGAUCCAGCCAUGCCGCGUGAAGGAAUAAGGCCCUAUGGGUUGUAAACUUCUUUUAGACGGGACAAAACCCCUUUACGUGUAAAGGGUUGAUGGUACUGUCAGAAUAAGCAUCGGCUAACUUCGUGCCAGCAGCCGCGGUAAUACGACGGAUGCAAGCGUUAUCCGGAAUUAUUGGGUUUAAAGGGUGCGUAGGCGGACUAAUAAGUCAGUGGCGAAAGCCUGCAGCUUAACUGCAGAAUUGCCAUUGUUACUGUUAGUCGUGAGUGCAGUUGGGCUAGGCGGAAUGUGUAAUGGAGCGGUGAAAUGCUAAGAUAUGACACAGAACACCGAUUGCGAUGGCAGCUUGCUAAGGUGUAACUGAC